GUUUCACCAUGUUGGCCAGGAUGGUCUCAAUCUCUUGACCUCAUGAUGUGCCCACCUUGGCCUCCGAAAGUGCUGGGAUUACAGGCGUGAGCCACCACGCCUAGCCCUACCUUGCCUUCUUAUGGGGAACUCCAGUUAACCCUCAGUUGAUGAAGGGAAGUCUUUACAUAAGAAUGCUGGCUAGUUUAAAAUGCAGAAUGAUAGACUUAGAAGGUCAGCUUUUUGUAAAUAUUUGUGAAAUAAUCGAUUCAAGCAAGGAUCACUAAUGGAUGCCAAAAGCAGUACUUAUAAGAUUUUUGGGAACCAGGAUAGUCCCAAAAUGGUAUGACAUUGCCCCACAGAUUAUUUGUUAAUUUACAGAGAGAAAAACAUACAGUUACAAGGAGACCUUUGUCACCACUUUCAACUAGUCAUCAAAUUUAGCAUCACGAACAGUGAUGUAACCUAAAUCUACAGAGCACCUGAUGUCCUGCAGUGUGGCAUGUACAGAAUCAUGGGUGAAGACUGAUCUAACCAUUAGAUCAAUGAGUCACAGUCUUCCCCAUACGUUAAAAUCAACUCAGGGCAUUUUAAAGCUCCCCAUUCCCAGUCUGCACCCAAGCUAAUUAUAAGAACCUCUGCAGGUGGGAUCUAGGCAUUAGUGUUUUGUUCCGGCUCCCAAAGUGAUGUCAAGGUUCAACCCAGAUCGAGAAAUACUGGCUUAGAGGAAGAUGUUAAAACACACCAAAAGAACAUAAUCAGACAUGUUCAGAAUAUGGGAUAUUAUUUAAGAUUACUGAAUUGGCUUCUUCAAAAAGUAAAUUUUUUCAAGAAGAACAGUAUCUUUGAACAUGUGUACCAGGAGAAAAAACGAAGAAAAUGAAAAAGGAGGAGAAACAAAGAAGGAAAGAAAAGAAAACAGACACACACACACAGAGGAAGAAUGGCACCUGAAGAAGGAAGCAGAGAUUGGAGUGAUGCAUCUACAAGCCAAGAAAGGUCAAGGAUUGUCACCCAUCAUUAGAAGCUAGGAGAGAGGCAUGGAAAUCGAUGCUAUCACUACUCUCAUUUUACAGUUGUGGAAACUGAGUGGAGAGGGGUUAAGUGACUUGCCGAAGGUCACAGAGCCAGCAGGUGGUGGUGCAAAGAUUCCAAUCCAGGAAUUUCAACUCAGAGCUUGAACUCUUAGCCACUGCCUGGCACUACCUCCUCUUCUCUCCAUGUUUUUAUUCACCAGCUCUACAAUAGUUUCUGUCUGUGCUAAUCAUUUUAGCACCCUGAAUCCAAAGAGGGAUGUGUCAUCCAAUCCUUUAACUCAUCCAAUUCUUCAGUUCCCAAACAUAGUUUAUUCAUGUGUAACCAUUAUGAAUUUUGUCAUGUCCUUGUACUACUUUUUAAAUUAAUAUUAUUAUAUUUGUCAACUCUCUUCUUUUUAAAUCUUUUCAUUGAAAAGAAACAUAUGUAUACAGAAAAGCG